UACGUAGGUGGCAAGCGUUGUCCGGAUUUACUGGGUGUAAAGGGCGUGUAGCCGGGCUGACAAGUCAGAUGUGAAACUCCGGGGCUCAACCCCGGACCUGCAUUUGAAACUGUUGGUCUUGAGUAUCGGAGAGGCAGGCGGAAUUCCUAGUGUAGCGGUGAAAUGCGUAGAUAUUAGGAGGAACACCAGUGGCGAAGGCGGAUGACUGGACGGCAACUGACGGUGAGGCGCGAAAGCGUGGGGAGCAAACAGG
rnacentral:rRNA from 1 species